rnacentral:snRNA from 1 species
GCAAAUCGUUCGUCUGACU